rnacentral:piRNA from 1 species
UGACAAGCUGAACACAGGAAU